rnacentral:rRNA from 1 species
AUUGAACGCUGGCGGCAGGCCUAACACAUGCAAGUCGAGCGGAUGAUGGGAGCUUGCUCCUGGAUGCAGCGGCGGACGGGUGAGUCAUGCCUAGGAAUCUGCCUGGUCGCGGGGGAUAACGUCCUGAAACGGGCGCUAAUACCGCAUACGUCCGGAUGGUGACAGAGGGUGAUCUUCGGACCUCACGCUAUGAGAUGAGCCUAGGUCGGAUUAGCUAGUUGGUGGGGUAACGGCCUACCAAGGCGACGAUGCGUAACUGGUCUGAGAGGAUGAUCCGGCACACUGGAACUGAGACACGGUCCAGACUCCUACGGGAGGCAGCAGUGGGGAAUAUUGGGCAAUGGGCGAGAGCCUGAUACAGCCAUGCCGCGUGUGUGAAGAAGGUCUUCGGAUUGUAAAGCACUUUAAGUUGGGAGGAAGGGCAGUAAGUUAAUACCUUGCUGUUUUGACGUUACCAAAAGAAUAAGCACCGGCUAACUUCGUG